CCUGAUUGAUCCUAUCAGUAUUCAUAUGGUUGUCUUACAGAUUAAUCCAUUCAUGUGUAAGUAUGAAAAUAUUUAGAUUGUGAAACUGCAAAUGGCUCAUUAAAUUAGUUAUAGUUUAUUUGACGGUAUCUGCUACUCAGAUAACCGUAGUAAUUCUAGAGCUAAUACGUGUAAAAAAAACUGACUUCUGAAAGGGAUGCAUUUAUUAGAUAAAAAUUCAAGGCGGGUUGUACUUGUUACUGCGAUGAAUCAUGAUAACUCGACGGAUCGCAUGACCAUCAUGCCAGUGAUGCGUUAUUCAAAUUAAUUCCCUAUCAACUUUCGAUAGUAGGAUAGUAGCCUACCAUGGUUAUGAUAGGUGGUGGAUAAUUAGGGUUUAAUUUUGAAGGAGCCUGAGAAAUGGCUAGCACAUCCAAGGAAGGCAACAGGCAUGUAAAUUACCCAAUAAAUAACAAUACAGGGCUAAAUAAGUCUGGCAAUUUGAAUGAGUACAAUAUAAAUCCCUUAAUAAGGACCUAUCAGAGGGAAAGUCUGGUGCCAGCAUCCACGGUAAUUCCAGCUCCAAUAGCGGAUAUUUAAGUUAUUGUAGUUAAAAAGCUCAUAGCUGUACUUUGAGAUGGGCUAGCCGAUCUGCCUAUGGUGUGCACCAGUAGUCUCGUCCCUUCUGUUGGUGAUGCACUCCUAGCUAUAACUGGUUGUGUCGUGCCUCUGGCAUUGUUACUUUGAAUAAAUUAGAGUGCUCAAAGAAAGCCUACGCUCUGUAUACAUUAGGAUGGGAUAACAUUAUAGGAUUUCGAUCCUACUACAUUGGCCUUCAAGAUCAGAGUAAUGAUUAACAGGGACAUGCAGGGGCAUUCGUAUUUCAUAGUCAGAGGUGAAAUUCUUGGAUUUAUGAAAAAUGAAUAACUGCAAAAGCAUUUGAAAAGGAUGUUUUCAUUCAUCAAGAAUGAAAGUGAGGGGAACAAAUAUGAUUAGAUACCAUUUUAGUCUGAACCAUAAAUGAUGUUGACCAGGGAUCGGUGGAUGUUGCUUUUAGGACUCUACCGCACCUUAUGAGAAAUCAAAUUUUUUGGGUUUCAAAGAGGAGGGUAUGGUUGCAAGUAUGAAACUUAAAAGAAUUGAUGGAAAGGAACCACCCGGAGUGGAGCCUGCGGCUUAAUUUGAUUCAAUGGGUGGUAGUGCAUGGCCGUUCUUAGUUAGUGGAGCGAUUUUUCUGGUUAAUUCCAUUAACGAAUAAGACCUCAUCCUGAUAACUAGCUAUGUGGAGGUAUUCCUUCGCUUCCAGCUUCUUAUAGGGACUACGACCUCUAAGGCCAUGGAAGUUUGAGGCAAUAACAGGUCUGUGAUGACCUUAGAUAUUCUAGGCCAUCCGCGUGCUACACUAAUGUAUUCAGCGAAUUUUAUUACCUUAGAUGAUUAGCCUGGGUAAUCUUUUAAACUUUAUCGUGAUGGAUAUAGAUCAUUGCAAUUUUUGGCCUUCAACAAGGAAUUACUAGUAAGUGCAAUUAUCAUCUCACAUUGACUACGUCCUUGCCCUUUGUAUACACCGCCCUUCACUCCUACCAAUUAAAUAGUCCAGAUAAAUAUUUGGAUUGUGGCAUCAUGGGUGGUUCGCUGCCCACAUUUUUAUGAGAAUUCCAUUGAACCUUAUCAUUUAGAGGAAGGAUAUAUCAUAACAAGUUUUUCGUAGGUGAACCUAUGAAAG
rnacentral:rRNA from 1 species